GACGUAGGGCACGAGCGUUGUCCGGAUUUAUUGGGCGUAAAGAGCUCGUAGGCGGCUCGUUGCGUCGGCUGUGAAAACCCGCAGCUCAACUGUGGGCUUGCAGCUGAUACGGGCGGGCUGGGAUUCGGUAGGGGAGACUGGAAUUCCUGGUGUAGCGGUGAAAUGCGCAGAUAUCAGGAGGAACACCGGUGGCGAAGGCGGGUCUCUGGGCCGAUAUCAACGCUGAGGAGCGAAAGCGUGGGGAGCGAACAGG
rnacentral:rRNA from 1 species